rnacentral:misc_RNA from 1 species
GUGAUCUUUCUCUGCUCCUACACUACUACUCUUGAUUUCUUGGGACUUUAACUCUUUCAUGUAUAUAUAUUCCUUCUUGGUUUUGAUAUGUUUACAUAUGGCUUAAAGGGUUAAUUAUUUAUCUUUCUAUGUUUUGUUAUGUUUGUUUGUUUGGUGCAUGGGAAAAUGAGGGGAUUAAUUAACAAAGAAAAAUUAAGAGAGAAAAUUUCUUGUGUCCG